CGAAUGCUGACAUAAGUAACGAUAAAGCGGGUGAAAAGCCCGCUCGCCGGAAGACCAAGGGUUCCUGUCCAACGUUAAUCGGGGCAGGGUGAGUCGACCCCUAAGGCGAGGCCGAAAGGCGUAGUCGAUGGGAAACAGGUUAAUAUUCCUGUACUUGGUGUUACUGCGAAGGGGGGACGGAGAAGGCUAUGUUGGCCGGGCGACGGUUGUCCCGGUUUAAGCGUGUAGGCUGGUUUUCCAGGCAAAUCCGGAAAAUCAAGGCUGAGGCGUGAUGACGAGGCACUACGGUGCUGAAGCAACAAAUGCCCUGCUUCCAGGAAAAGCCUCUAAGCAUCAGGUAACAUCAAAUCGUACCCCAAACCGACACAGGUGGUCAGGUAGAGAAUACCAAGGCGCUUGAGAGAACUCGGGUGAAGGAACUAGGCAAAAUGGUGCCGUAACUUCGGGAGAAGGCACGCUGAUAUGUAGGUGAAGUCCCUCGCGGAUGGAGCUGAAAUCAGUCGAAGAUACCAGCUGGCUGCAACUGUUUAUUAAAAACACAGCACUGUGCAAACACGAAAGUGGACGUAUACGGUGUGACGCCUGCCCGGUGCCGGAAGGUUAAUUGAUGGGGUUAGCGCAAGCGAAGCUCUUGAUCGAAGCCCCGGUAAACGGCGGCCGUAACUAUAACGGUCCUAAGGUAGCGAAAUUCCUUGUCGGGUAAGUUCCGACCUGCACGAAUGGCGUAAUGAUGGCCAGGCUGUCUCCACCCGAGACUCAGUGAAAUUGAACUCGCUGUGAAGAUGCAGUGUACCCGCGGCAAGACGGAAAGACCCCGUGAACCUUUACUAUAGCUUGACACUGAACAUUGAGCCUUGAUGUGUAGGAUAGGUGGGAGGCUUUGAAGUGUGGACGCCAGUCUGCAUGGAGCCGACCUUGAAAUACCACCCUUUAAUGUUUGAUGUUCUAACGUUGACCCGUAAUCCGGGUUGCGGACAGUGUCUGGUGGGUAGUUUGACUGGGGCGGUCUCCUCCUAAAGAGUAACGGAGGAGCACGAAGGUU
rnacentral:rRNA from 1 species